ACGGGGUGCAGCAGGCGCGAAACUCCACAUGCCGGAACAGCGAUAGGGGACCUCGUGCGCCAGAUACAAAUCUGGCCGUCGUGAUGCCUAAAAGCACCGCAUAGCAGGGCCGGGCAAGACCGGUGCCAGCCGCCGCGGUAACACCGGCGGCUCGAGUGGUAACCGUUAUUAUUGGGUCUAAGGGUCUGUAGCCGGCCGGGUAAGUCUCUUGGGAAAUCUGGCAGCUUAACUGUCAGGCUUUCAGGAGAUACUGUCUGGCUCGAGGCCGGGAGAGGUGAGAGGUACUUUCAGGGGUAGGGGUGAAAAUCUUGUAAUCCUUGAAGGACCACCAGUGGCGAAGGCGUCUCACCAGAACGGACCUGACGGCAAGGGACGAAAGCUAGGGGCACGAACCGGAUUAGAUACCCGGGUAGUCCUAGCCGUAAACGAUACUCGCUAGGUGUCGGCAACGGUGCGACCGUUGUCGGUGCCGUAGGGAAGCCGUGAAGCGAGCCACCUGGGAAGUACGGCCGCAAGGCUGAAACUUAAAGGAAUUGGCGGGGGAGCACCACAAC
rnacentral:rRNA from 1 species